CCUANGGGAGGCAGCAGCUAAGAAUCUUGCGCAAUGGGCGAAAGCCUGACGCAGCAACGCCGCGUGGAGGACGAAGGCCCUCGGGUCGUAAACUCCUUUUGCGAGGGAAGAAGAUCUGACGGUACCUCGCGAAUAAGCCACGGCUAACUACGUGCCAGCAGCCGCGGUAAUACGUAGGUGGCAAGCGUUGUCCGGAUUUACUGGGCGUAAAGCGCCCGCAGGCGGCCAGACAAGUUUCAGGUGAAAUCUCCCGGCUCAACUGGGAGGGUGCCUGGAAAACUGUUUGGCUUGAGGCAGGGAGAGGGAUGCAGAAUUCCCGGUGUAGUGGUGAAAUGCGUAGAUAUCGGGAGGAAUACCAGUGGCGAAGGCGGCAUCCUGGACCUGUCCUGACGCUCAGGGGCGAAAGCGUGGGGAGCAAACCGGAUUAGAUACCCGGNUANUC
rnacentral:rRNA from 1 species